UGAGCGGUAGGAUUCGAACCUGCGGAAACUAAUGGAUUUCAGGUCCAUCGCCUUAACCAUCGGCCACGACUGC